GUUUGCACUUGUCGGGGAAGGGUGAGAACCUUCGAUUAAGGUUCGACUCGAGCGAAAGCGAGAGAACGUUGCCAACGGCAACGGCCCGUAGGGUGAGGAGCGAGGCGACGAAUAAUCCUUCCCCCACCACCA
rnacentral:sRNA from 2 species